CAAGGUACCUCCAAGGCAACCUUCCUGCAGUGACUUCCACUGUCCUAAAGGAACCACGUGUAAGAUGAUGGAUGGACAUCCCCAGUGUGUCCAGAACCAACCCACGUGCAGUGACAUCCAGUGCUCCAAGGGGACCACAUGUCAGAUGGUGGAUGGUUGGCCACGAUGCGUCCAAAUCAAGGUACCUCCAAGGCAACCUUCCUGCAGUGACCUCCACUGUCCUAAAGGGACCACGUGUAAGAUGAUGGAUGGACAUCCCCAGUGCGUCCAAAACCAACCCACCUGCAGCGACAUCCAGUGCUCCAAGGGGACCACGUGUCAGAUGGUGGAUGGAUGGCCACGGUGCAUCCAAAUCAAGGUACCUCCAAGGACACCUUCCUGCAGUGACAUCCACUGUCCUAAAGGAACCACCUGUAAGAUGACGGAUGGACAUCCCCUUUGUGUUCAUGUCCAACCCACCUGCAAUGACAUCCAGUGCUCCAAGGGGACCACGUGUCAGAUGGUGGAUGGCUGGCCACGCUGUGUGCAAACCAAGAUAACAGUAAGGCAACCUUCCUGCAGGGACAUGCAGUGUCCUAAAGGGACAUCAUGUAGGAUGACAGAUGGGAGGCCCCAAUGUAUGCAGAACCAGCCGUCCUGUCGUGAUGUCCAAUGUCAGAAGGGAACUGAGUGUCAGAUGGUGGAUGGUUGGCCACGGUGUGUCCAGUCAAAGACUUCCAUCAGGAGACCUACUUGUAGUGAUGUCCGCUGUUCCAAAGGCAUGAUCUGUCAGUUGGUAGAUGGUUGGCCACAGUGUGUCCAAGUCAAGGUGGCCCCAAGGCAACCUUCCUGCAGGGACAUCCACUGUCCUAAAGGAACCUCCUGUAGAAUGACGGAUGGGUGGCCCCACUGUGUGCACAACCAGCCCUCCUGUCAAGAUGUUCAAUGUCAGAAGGGAACCGUGUGCCAAAUGGUGGAUGGUUGGCCACGGUGCGUCCAAACAAAGACUUCCAUC
rnacentral:lncRNA from 1 species